AGUUCCUAAGCCCACAAGUCUAUAAGCCCACAAGCAAAACAGCCCAAACCCAAAACCGGCCCGAAUAGCUUAAAAACCCUACCCGGUUCGCGACCCGUGUCCGACCCGCUCCUUUUGGCCGAAACCCUAGGGUUUCUAGGCGGCGUUGGCGGCGGCAGCGAAGGUGAUUCAGACGGCAAAAACGGCGGUACGACGGGCGGCGGCGUCGGCACGGCGGUGACUGGUGGAGACGCGGCCAGGAGUGGCAGCGCGUGGCGAGGGCCGAUGUGGGGCUCGCUCGGCGGUGACUGGUGAGGCAGCUCGGACGGCGUCGGGUUGAGGGCGGUGAUGGGUGAGCGAUGGCACCGGCUGUGGCGAGGGGGUUCGAACGGCGACUAGAGCGGGACGGCGGCGGCGGUCGGUCUGG
rnacentral:lncRNA from 1 species